GUGAAUCAUCGAAUUUUUGAACGCAAAUUGCGCCUUUUUCGAAAGCCAUGUCUGUUUGAGGUCACCAUUUAACAAAUAAUGUGCAGCGGUUAUUGUUGCACACGUUGAUGAGCUUUCCAAGAACUUUAAAUGUUUGAUGGCGCAUAAUAAACAGCAGGAAGCUUUUUUUUCAGUUCCAGAGUAGUAAAAUCUUUGCUAGGGUUGUGAAUAGCGUAAUCGCGCUUUGGUUCUGGCAAUUUUUUAUUAUCCCUGCCCCAAUCCCACU
rnacentral:misc_RNA from 1 species